GCUGGGCAUGGUGGUGCAUGCCCAUAAUCUCAGUGGCUUGGGAGGCUGAGGCAGGAGGGUCAUGAGUUCAAAGCCAGCCUCUG
rnacentral:sRNA from 1 species